GGGGGCGACCUGGAUUCGACGUGGGUCGCGAAACCUGCAGGUGCAUGCCGAGGUGCAGAGCCUCGUAAAUCGUCUGCAAACCUAAUAGUUGCCAACGACGACAACUACGCACUCGCCGCUUAAUACCCGGUAGGGUGCCGUCUCACUGGAGCCGUGCCCAUGCGUCCAGGUUUGAGGCGUCGACUCUCAUGGGAUCGCGAGGAGGCACGUCCGGGGCCAAAUCGCUAAAACCUUACCGGACUCGCCGUAUGGCAUGCCCUGUCAGUCGGGCAGCCCGCGGCUAAAGACAAUAGACUGACUAUGCAUGUAGAGCCUCAGGCGGAGGACCCACGGACGCGGGUUCGAUUCCCGCCGCCUCCACCA
rnacentral:tmRNA from 1 species